rnacentral:rRNA from 1 species
AAAUUGAAGAGUUUGAUCAUGGCUCAGAUUGAACGCUGGCGGCAGGCCUAACACAUGCAAGUCGAGCGGAAACGAGUUAUCUGAACCUUCGGGGAAGGAUAACGGCGUCGAGCGGCGGACGGGUGAGUAAUGCCUAGGAAAUUGCCCUGAUGUGGGGGAUAACCAUUGGAAACGAUGGCUAAUACCGCA